rnacentral:rRNA from 1 species
GACGAACGCUGGCGGCGUGCCUAAUACAUGCAAGUCGAACGAACCGCGACUAGGUGCUUGCACUUGGUCAAGGUGAGUGGCGAACGGGUGAGUAACACGUGGGUAACCUACCUCAUAGUGGGGGAUAACAGUCGGAAACGACUGCUAAUACCGCAUAGGACAUGGGAUCACAUGAUUCUGUGAGGAAAGGUGGCGCAAGCUAUCGCUAAGAGAUGGACCCGCGGUGCAUUAGCUAGUUGGUAGGGUAACGGCCUACCAAGGCGAUGAUGCAUAGCCGACCUGAGAGGGUGAUCGGCCACAUUGGGACUGAGACACGGCCCAAACUCCUACGGGAGGCAGCAGUAGGGAAUCUUCCGCAAUGGACGCAAGUCUGACGGAGCAACGCCGCGUGAGUGAAGAAGGUCUUCGGAUCGUAAAGCUCUGUUGUUAGAGAAGAACAGCGCAUAGAGUAACUGUUAUGCGUGUGACGGUAUCUAACCAGAAAGCCACGGCUAACUACGUGC